UACAGAGGGUGCAAGCGUUAUUCGGAAUUACUGGGCGUAAAGCGCAUGUAGGUGGUUUGAUAAGUCUGAUGUGAAAGCCCUCGACUCAAUCGGGGAAGUGCACUGGAUACUGUCAGACUAGAGUGCAGGAGGGGUGAGCGGAAUUCCUGGUGGAGAGGUGAAAUUCGUAGAUAUCAGGAGGAACAACGGUGGCGAAGGCGGCUCACUGGACUGCAACUGACACUUAGGUGCGAAAGCGUGGGGAUCAAACAGG
rnacentral:rRNA from 1 species